rnacentral:rRNA from 1 species
UACGUAGGGGGCAAGCGUUGUCCGGAUUUAUUGGGCGUAAAGAGCGUGUAGGCGGCCCGACAGGUCCGUUGUGAAAACUCGAGGCUCAACCUCGAGACGUCGAUGGAAACCGUCGGGCUAGAGUCCGGAAGAGGAGAGUGGAAUUCCUGGUGUAGCGGUGAAAUGCGCAGAUAUCAGGAGGAACACCCGUGGCGAAAGCGGCUCUCUGGGACGGUACUGACGCUGAGGUGCGAAAGCGUGGGGAGCAAACAGG